UAGCAGUAGGCACAUGACACAAAUUUUGCGUUUUAACAAAGUUGCAAGAACUCAGAUCAGGUUGCCCAAAAUGACCCAUAUGACGAAGAUGCAAUGAAAAUUGGUGAAUAUGUUUUCCUUCUACUGGAAGGACUGGCCGUAAUGUCUCUGUUGGAUAUGCCUCUGUUGGAUAUUUCAUCUGCACUGACUACACCAUCUUUGGCUUUAUCACAAGAAAGAAUGCAGUCUACAUCAUGAUUCAUACCUGCUUAACAAGUAACUGAAUCUUUGUGUGCUACAACUACUGAAAAGAAGACCAAAUAUAGUAGUGGUGAUGUCACCCACCAUCAUCUCCUUUGCUUGAACUCUUGCUUAAAGUCCAUAUCAGAUGUCUCUUCUUUUCGUACAAAUUGACAAUAUCAUUAGUGUCAAAUAAAAUCCAGGACAUAAAAAAUACAAUGUGCAUAACAAAACAGUAAAUGUCCAGUGAAUACA